AGCUCAGCUUGCUACAUUUUAUGCUGAUCCCUGUCAGGCAACAAAACACACAUAAUCUGCAAAAAGGAUAACAACAGGGAGGGGACUGAAUGAGAGAAAAGAAAAGUGCCAGAGCACCGGGGAAGGAUGAACAAACAAAAUAUUUAUGUCUCCAACACACCUUGAAAAACACAGACGAUAAACGUGGAGCAAGCCCAAAGGAUUCGGAGUCUGAGUUGCUAAAGGCGUGGCAUAGAUCCUGGUGGGUUUUAUGCUUCGCUCCAUGCAAAGUACAGGCAACAAACAUCAACCAAUAAUGCAGACGCGAUUAUGUCCAACCAGAAGCAAAAAUAGUUAUGGGCAACAGAGGGACAACUCCGACUUUGAAUGUGAAGUUGACGCUAGAAUAGCAGGACAUUCGCAUACAGAAAGGAUUGGGAUUGCUUUUCACAGACACACACUUUUUGAGGAAGCUGCACUCUCACAAUCACCCAAAAAAUGAAAAACAAACAGAGCGACAAAUGGCGAGUGGGGAAAAAGAAAGGACCUCGGAAAACAGAGACCUGAGAGGCAGCUGCAAAAAACGAAAGUGUUGCACAAUGGGCGUUGCUCCGUUGCUUCAGGUCUUCUGCACACUCAAAAACCUGCACCCACCACUCUCUUUUAGGAGGGACACUCACCAACACUGUCCUCUGAUUUAUGAUACUGACGAGCAAUUUUUUGCACUGUAAAAAUUAAAUCAGCUAAAAUAUACAGAAUAUUCAAAAAUCGUAAUGCACUUAAAAUAGAAAAUCUCCUAGCUUGGCAUCUUAGAAAAGCAAGAUAAAACAAAAUAAAAAAUAUGGCAACAAAGAAAAUAAUUGUGGCCGAGAUCUUCGGAUCCUGAUCUACAAUUUACUCAUAAGAAUCCAAAACGUAUUCCUUUAACCCUUAAACAAUCUUCAACGGCCCUGGUAUUCCCUUAAGCUAUAAUAGAUACGGGUAUAAUAAGACAGAAGACAAACGAAAACUUACGAUAACGACAACAUUGAGAGUAAAACACCAUGUCUGACCAACAGGAGCAAUAGAAAUCGCAGCGAAAACAAAGAAGGACCUACGAUGAUGCCACUGACGAGUUGGAAGUGAGCUGGAGGCAGGUCCCCUAAGCGCAUCCACCUCUCGCACGAGGAUCCCUCGAUUCGUUCGCAAAAGGAAG
ensembl:ncRNA lncRNA:CR45335 long non-coding RNA:CR45335